GACUGCAGAGGCGACCUCCUCCUCCUCCUCCUCCUCCCAAGGUCGUUCAUAGGAUCGGCACCACUCCUCGUGAGGCUGCUGAUCGGUCCUUUUGAAAAGCCUGCCGCACCUCCUCCCGCGGCAGGCUUUUUCG
rnacentral:sRNA from 1 species